rnacentral:rRNA from 1 species
GACGUAGGGCGCGAGCGUUGUCCGGAUUUAUUGGGCGUAAAGAGCUCGUAGGCGGUCUGUCGCGUCUGCUGUGAAAACUCAGGGCUCAACCCUGAGCGUGCUUCCGAUACGGGCAGACUAGAGGUAUGCAGGGGAGAACGGAAUUCCUGGUGUAGCGGUGGAAUGCGCAGAUAUCAGGAGGAACACCGGUGGCGAAGGCGGUUCUCUGGGCAUGACCUGACGCUGAGGAGCGAAAGCAUGGGGAGCGAACAGG